UUAAAAAAAGAAUCUCACAGUUCCAUUUGCGUUAUGGAUAGGCCCUACCCUCUCUUUAGAAAGAGUGUACGCUCUUUAAGGUAAGGAUUCGAGGUUUCUUUAUUUUGAAAGAUACCUCAUCCAAGGUGGGUGCCUAUCUGUUCCUGUUCUAUAAACAUCGAAGGAAACUUUUUACAUGGCAUUAUGUCAAAGCUAUUUAAACAAAUCUCAAACCGAAGAGGAGAAUCUUCUCAGCUUUGGAUAUGAAGUAUGCUGAUCUGCUGGGCAUGGUGGUGAACACCUAUAAUUCCAGCAACUCAGGAAGCCAAGGUCCUCUCCAAGUUGCUGAGGUUGGCCUUGAACUUGAUCCUUCUGCCUCAGCCUCAGAAGUGGUUGGGAUUGAUUGAUGUGCAUCACCACACCCAGGCACUGCUUCCCUCAUUUUAAAGAGGUCGACAGUGAUGUAAAAGAAGAGCGUGCUGGUGAUCUACCGCAUCAGAACUUCUUAUAUUGGAUAUGUCUCUUGUGAGAUCUGACUCCCUCAAAAGCCUAUGGACUCCAGAGUCAAGAGUCAGCCUGUUCAUCUUUGGAGCCUCAACACUAGACUACGGUAAACAGCUGCUGCAGCCUUCGAGCGUCGCGGCAACACCUGGAGGAGUGGAACAUGACCGUCGGAUUUGAGUGCAGACACCUUCCUUCGAAAUUAAACACAGGACAACGUGUGCGACUCACCCAAACCUGAGCCGAAUGAGGAAGUCAGGUCACACUGGCCCACAGGGGUUUGGUAUUUUUUUGUUUUGUUUUAAAAAGGGCAGCCUGGCCCUACACUAAGCAAUUGAUCCCCUGGCUUAACUUUUAAAUUAAGACCAUUGUAAAUUUGGGAACUUGAGAAGACAUAGAGAGGACACCCGUAAUACUUUGCAAAUGUCAAGUGCCUCUCGAUGUUGGUUACUUUUCAAAGGUAGCUAGGUUACAAUGUACCCUGGUAAUGAAAAAACCCCGUCAGGCCCACUCCACGGGGUUUCAGUCAAUAUACAUAAUAUUAUUGGGCUUUGCAAGGAUUAAAGGUUGUUUCUCUCACAGCCUCACAAUAGGGCUAUUUUUUCCCCUCUACUGAAGGCAUAAAAGAAGUCUCCCUGUUUACAGAGGAGCCCAAGACAUUUUGGGGCCCCAGUGAUGGUCCAGACUUCCCACUGCAUACUUCCCCCUGCUGGUGGCUUUAUAGCCAACCUUAAAAAAAAAAUCUAAUUCUUUUAAUAUAUACAUGAUAAGACUUAAAAAAGUUGAUUAGUGUUUUAUAUUGUCCACAAGCUAUUUCUGGAGUAUAAAAGUUAUGGUUUCUUCCAAUUUUAUUCUGAGAAAGAAAGCUUUCAUAUCAUACUGUCCUUCCCAACCAGCCCGGAUGGUAUUUGGACUAUUCCAUAUUUGGUGCAGUUUUGAAACUGCCCACCCUGUGGAAUGGGAUUCCCAGAAUGCAGCAAGAUACGUGGUGUGACCGCAUUCAGGUUCAUAUACAUUAGGAGGCUAGAGAUAGCACAACAGAAAUUCUGUAGUGUGUAUGUCAUAUGUCAUAGAACCAUACCUAAACAGGAAAGAAAAUACUCAGUAUGCUUUGGCCUGCACAAUUAAAAGGAAUUUCCAUCUUAAAACCAGAGAUGUGGUUAUUUGGCCCAAGAAACAUGAAAGUAUGGGGAAUAAUCUUGAGCUGCUGAAGAGAUGACCCAAUGAACUCUUUCCCACAUCUCUACGACACACAGAGCUUUCUCAGAACUGGUUUGAUUUUUUAAAAGAAAAAAAAAUGGUAGGGAAUCCCUGCAAAAGUUACCGUUUUAAAGUGUCUAAUUCAGUGGAAUUAAGAACAUUCACAAUGUUGCGCUACUAUCGCUGUCCAAAUCCAGAGUGUUUUUAUGACCCCAAACAGAAACCUCAUGCCAAUUAGGAGUCACUGCCCCAUUUCCUUCCCUCCCUCCUCUUCACCCCAGCUUCUCAAACCACAUCUGCCAUUUUGCAUCUAUGGAUUUGCCUAGUCUGGAUAUUUCAUAUAAAUGUGGCCCUUUGUGUCUGGCUUCUUUUACUUAACAUGAUGUCUUCAAGGUUCGUGCAUGCUGUAGCAUCUGUCAGAAGUUAUUGCUUUUUAUGGCUGCCCCUGCCAUAGAAUCUAAGUUAAUGAGAGUUGAAGGCUGCUUCCUCCAGGCAGUGGGGUCCCAGAAAAUAGGCAAGAUUUCUUUUGGAAAAUAGGUUUUGGGGAAAGCUAGGUGAAGUAUAAGUCAAUUAAAAAAACAAAAGAUAGGUUUUUUUUUCCAUUGAUAAAUGCUCUUGGUAUACAGGCCUUCUCAGAGUGUGUAAUAUAACAGAGUAUGCUCUAACCCUCCAAGAGGCCACGAAUAGUAUGGAUGCAGUAUUUUCUAAAAUUCUUUGACUAUGGAAUCUUUUAGUGCUGCUGUGUUCAUUUUGUAGACAUCCAAUCAAGAGGGCUAGUGGGAGCUCAAAUGUAUGUUUCUUGCCCUCUGCUUGCCAAGCCAAGAAUCUGUGGGGUUAUAUUCACUGAGAAGGGUUAUAAUUAUUUUUACUUACUUAUUUAUUUUUUAUUUUUUUCUGGCAAGAAUGGUUUCAAUUUCUCAAUCUUCACAUGGAUUCUCUGUAGGACUUUUUGGUGGAACACUGGGGGUGGAUGUGUGUGUGUGUGUGUGUGUGUGUGUGUGUGUUGGGGAGAGGUGUGCUCAGGGGACAGCAGUGUUCUAGGUAACUGCAGGAUUACCUUUCUGGAGCACUGUUAUAGGAUCAAGGGAACCCAGGGGCAGAUCCCUGUGGACACAGCCUCAUGGAAUUCAUUAGGGAUGAAUAUUUUUGGAAAGCACAGCAGAGCCCUAUUGUAAUAGAGCUACCAUAUUUGAAUUUCUGCAUUUGACUUGUUUCCGACCUCCCUAGAAUAUCUAGCUUGAAUAUAAGCUUUCCUCCUUGGUCAGGAGUUGAGGGGAAGGCUUGGCAAGGUCAGGAUACAGUUUUUGGAAAACAGAGACAGGGGAUGGACCUGAUGAAUUUCAAAGGAUGGAGUAAUACUCUCUAAAGCCCCAAGAACUCAGACAGGGAGUCAUCUGUAGGAUGUGGGGUUAGGAUCCCUCAGGGAAAAACUGAGCUAGAUAUUAAACUGGACACACCUAUGAACUCUCAUCUUGGUGCUUUCUCUGCUCAGAGGUCAGUGAUAUUCAAAAUGAAAAGAAUAUCAGAGCACUAAGGGAUUAUGAGAUUUCUUCUGAAUCAACUCAGGAUGAUUAAAUUAUUUUUAUAUUGUCUUAGUUUUGUUUUUAUAUUCAGGUUCUCUGAAAACUCUUACUCCAUUUGAGAUACUCCUUAGAGGAAAAUUUGGCUAAUCAUAACAUCCCAAUCUAUGGCCAUGAUCAUAAUGGCAAACAGGGUUUACUACAUAAAUAUCCUUCUAGAAUUACAAAAUUGGUAGCCUAUUAUGAUUGCACUAAAUAAAAGCAAUUCUAUACACUGGGCUUCUGUAUCAUGCUUUGUAAAUGUAUAUAUAUGUAUAUGUAUGUGUGUGUGUGAGACACACACAGACACACACACAUAUACUCUGGAUUUAGACAGUGAUAGUAGCACAACACUGUGAAUGUUCUUAAUGCCACUGAAUUAGACACUUUAAAAUGGUAACUUUUACAGGUAUUUUCUACCAUUUUUUUCUUUUAAAAUCAAAUCAAUAUAUAUAUAUAUAUGUAUAUAUACAUAUAUAUUUAUACUUAUAAAAAUAUAUAUUUAUAUAUUUAUAUGCAUUUUUUCUGCUUACAAAGAAAUGUGUUCCCAAUUGUAGAAAAUUUGGAAAAGGCAAAAAAUAAAAAAGAGAAAUUAAAAAAAUAUUGUAAGAUCUCUCUUCAUAGUUACAAUUUUGGUAUAUAUAUUUUAAACACCUUUAUGCAUAAGCAUAUCUUUUAUUUUCAUAGAUUAUUUACAUAUGAGUAUACUAUAUAUUAUUUAUUUGUUAUAAAUACACACACACACACAUACACACACACACACAAUAGGGACAGAAUUCAAAGGCACUGAGCCACAUCCCCAGCCUUUUAUAUUUUGCAUUUUGAAAUAUGGUCUCACUAAGUUGCUUAGGGUCUCAUUAAGUUGCUGAGGCUGCCUUCUAACUUGUGGUCCUCCUGCCUUAGCCUCCCAAAUCACUAGGAUUACAGGCACGCACCACUGUGCCCAGUCAUUUUAUUUUUAAAAGAUGCAAAUAUUUAGAUUUAAAAAUAAAAUUGAGAUUUCCUAUAUAUACUAUUUAGCUUGUUUUCAAAAUUUGUUAAUCAAUGUAUUAUAUAUACUUUACAUGUUUUUAGGUAUCACUUCACAGCAUAAAGAUUGCACAGUAAAUUGUUACAUGAAUAUGCCACAUUUUAUUUAGUAUAUUUCCUGUUAUUGGAUAUUUAUGUUAUUUAAAAAAUUUCCCCAUUUUCAAUAACCCAGUGAUAAAGUUUAUUUUUUACAUAUCUCUUAAUUGUUUUUCAGAAGACUCUUACCUCUUUUUCUCAUAUUUUUGUAACACUAUUAACCUUGAAGUAAUCACUAUUGUUUAUAAUUAUUUCCCAAAGAUGAAUAAGAGGCUUAUUAGGUGUGAAUAAUCUCUCCUCACAUCUAUGUCAUAUGCCAAGAUCAAUAAGGCAAAAUUACAUAUGUAAAGUGCUUGGA